rnacentral:rRNA from 1 species
ACGCUGGCGGCGUGCUUAACACAUGCAAGUCGAACGAGAAUCUGCGGAAAGAGGAUUCGUCCAAUUGAAGCAGAGGGCAGUGGCGGACGGGUGAGUAACGCGUGAGGAACCUGCCUUUCAGAGGGGGACAACAGUUGGAAACGACUGCUAAUACCGCAUGACACAUCGGAGUCGCAUGGCUCUGAUGUCAAAGAUUUAUCGCUGAAAGAUGGCCUCGCGUCUGAUUAGCUAGUUGGUAGGGUAACGGCCUACCAAGGCGACGAUGCGUAGCCGACCUGAGAGGGUGACCGGCCACACUGGGACUGAGACACGGCCCAGACUCCUACGGGAGGCAGCAGUAGGGAAUUUUCGGCAAUGGGGGAAACCCUGACCGAGCAACGCCGCGUGAAGGAAGAAGUAAUUCGUUAUGUAAACUUCUGUCAUAGAGGAAGAACGGUGGAUAUAGGGAAUGACAUCCAAGUGACGGUACUCUAUAAGAAAGCCACGGCUAACUACGUGCCAGCAGCCGCGGUAAUACGUAGGUGGCGAGCGUUAUCCGGAAUUAUUGGGCGUAAAGAGGGAGCAGGCGGCACUAAGGGUCUGUGGUGAAAGAUCGAAGCUUAACUUCGGUAAGCCAUGGAAACCGUAGAGCUAGAGUGUGUGAGAGGAUCGUGGAAUUCCAUGUGUAGCGGUGAAAUGUGUAGAUAUAUGGAGGAACACCAGUGGCGAAGGCGACGAUCUGGCGCAUAACUGACGCUCAGUCCCGAAAGCGUGGGGAGCAAAUAGGAUUAGAUACCCUAGUAGUCCACGCCGUAAACGAUGAGUACUAAGUGUUGGGGGUCAAACCUCAGUGCUGCAGUUAACGCAAUAAGUACUCCGCCUGAGUAGUACGUUCGCAAGAAUGAAACUCAAAGGAAUUGACGGGGGCCCGCACAAGCGGUGGAGCAUGUGGUUUAAUUCGAAGCAACGCGAAGAACCUUACCAGGUCUUGACAUCGAUCUAAAGGCUCCAGAGAUGGAGAGAUAGCUAUAGAGAAGACAGGUGGUGCAUGGUUGUCGUCAGCUCGUGUCGUGAGAUGUUGGGUUAAGUCCCGCAACGAGCGCAACCCCUGUUGCCAGUUGCCAGCAUUAAGUUGGGGACUCUGGCGAGACUGCCGGUGACAAGCCGGAGGAAGGCGGGGAUGACGUCAAAUCAUCAUGCCCCUUAUGACCUGGGCUACACACGUGCUACAAUGGACAGAGCAGAGGGAAGCGAAGCCGCGAGGUGGAGCGAAACCCAUAAAACUGUUCUCAGUUCGGACUGCAGUCUGCAACUCGACUGCACGAAGAUGGAAUCGCUAGUAAUCGCGAAUCAGCAUGUCGCGGUGAAUACGUUCUCGGGCCUUGUACACACCGCCCGUCACACCAUGAGAGUCGGUAACACCCGAAGCCGGUGGCCUAACCGCAAGGAAGGAGCUGUCUAAGGUGGGACUGAUGAUUGGGGUGAAGUCGUAACAAGGUA